rnacentral:rRNA from 1 species
AUGCCUGGAAGGAAAACUUCAUAUGAGCACAAGUCACAGCACCCCUACAACGAGUCUCCAGCUUCUCAGGGAGUCGACGAGGUCACCUGGGCUCCUGCGAGAAGGGUGCCAGGGUCAGCAGGAACGCAGAUAUCAUCAAGAUGGCCAGAACUGCGGCUCCUCUCCUCUGUCGCUCUUGCCGGCCAAGCCAAGCUGGACAUGGAUGUGUGGGUGUGCAUGGUCACUGUGAAGUUCGUUCUGGGCGACCUCUUCAGUUCGAUGUGUGUGCUCACUGUGUGGGUCGCCAUCCCUCGAUCCUGCCAAGCUACACCAGCACUUGUUGUUUCCUCUCCCUGCCGCAAUCAGUGUUGUGAGCGACGGACAAGAGGGAGGCAUGGAGCUGGCGUCUGGAUAUGGGAAGGGAGCUGCUACUGCACUUGGUUAGCUUGA